rnacentral:misc_RNA from 1 species
AAGUCGUAACAAGGUUUCCGUAGGUGAACCUGCGGAAGGAUCAUUAAUACGUUUGUAACAAAACGUCUAAACCCAAAGGAAUCGUGAACUAGUGUUUUACGGGUUCGCAUUUGUGAGACCUCUCGGGUCUGGAGCUUUUUGGGCCUUCAUGGUUCAAACAUCUCAGUGUAGAGCAGUGAGAUGACAUCACAGCAAUGUGUGUGGUUCUGAAAUACAAAUGCUUAUCGGUUAAUUCUUGCUCUACUUUUUUUGUACAACAACUUGAACUAAAAACCUUUCUUUGUCUUGGAGCAAUCCGAGAGAAGAAAAAAAUAACCGAAAUUAAGAACAACUCUCUUAACAACGGAUAUCUUGGUUCUC